CAAUGCCGCGUGAGUGAUGAAGGCCUUAGGGUUGUAAAGCUCUUUUACCAGGGAUGAUAAUGACAGUACCUGGAGAAUAAGCUCCGGCUAACUCCGUGCCAGCAGCCGCGGUAAUACGGAGGGAGCUAGCGUUGUUCGGAAUUACUGGGCGUAAAGAGUACGUAGGCGGUGAUUCAAGUCAGAGGUGAAAGCCUGGAGCUCAACUCCAGAACUGCCUUUGAAACUAGAUCGCUAGAAUUGUGGAGAGGUUAGUGGAAUUCCGAGUGUAGAGGUGAAAUUCGUAGAUAUUCGGAAGAACACCAGUGGCGAAGGCGACUAACUGGACACAUAUUGACGCUGAGGUACGAAAGCGUGGGGAGCAAACAGGAUUAGAUACCCUGGUAGUCCACGCCGUAAACGGAUGAUAACUAGCUGUUCGGGGUCUACGAUCCUGAGUGGCGCAGCUAACGC
rnacentral:rRNA from 1 species